CAGUAGCCGCGGUAAGACAGAGGAUGCAAGCGUUAUCCGGAAUUACUGGGCGUAAAGCGCGCGUAGGUGGUUUGUUAAGUUGGAUGUGAAAUCCCCGGGCUCAACCUGGGAACUGCAUCCAAAACUGGCAAGCUAGAGUAUGGUAGAGGGUGGUGGAAUUUCCUGUGUAGCGGUGAAAUGCGUAGAUAUAGGAAGGAACACCAGUGGCGAAGGCGACCACCUGGACUGAUACUGACACUGAGGUGCGAAAGCGUGGGGAGCAAACAGGAUUAGAUACCCCAGUAGUCCCUGUCUCUUAUAC
rnacentral:rRNA from 1 species